AGAGAGAGACAUGCGCGCAUAUCAAUAAGCGGAGGAAAAGAAACUAACAAGGAUUCCCCUAGUAACGGCGAGUGAAGCAGGAAGAGCUCAAAUUUGAAAUCUUAAAGGGUUUCCCUUUACGAAUUGUAGUUUAAAGAAGUGUUUUCUGUUGAGGUUUUGGUAAAAGUUCUUUGGAAUAGGACAUCAUAGAGGGUGAGAAUCCCGUAUUUGACCUUUACUUUCAACUUUGUGAUACACUUUCAAAGAGUCGGAUUGUUUGGGAAUGCAGUCCAAAAUGGGUGGUAAAUUUCAUCUAAAGCUAAAUAUUGGCGAGAGACCGAUAGCGAACAAGUACCGUGAGGGAAAGAUGAAAAGAACUUUGAAAAGAGAGUUAAACAGUACGUGAAAUUGUCAAAAGGGAAGCGUUUGACACCAGUGUUGUUUUUCUGAAAAUCAAUUAAAGAACUGUUUAUGCUAAGUUGUUUAGACUUUAUCAGCUAACUGUUUAGUUUUGAGCUUUUCUUUAAUGCACUUUUCAGUUAACAAGUCAACAUCAAUUUCUUUUGCUGUAAAAAAGCUUGAGGAAGGUGGCUUGAGAUUCGUCUUAAGUGUUUAUAGCCUCUUGCCUAUGCAGUCGGAGAGAUUGAGGUCUGCAGCGUAGAUCCUUCGGGGCUAAAUGCAUUUGUGCUAAGUUAUAGCAUUUUAUAGACAACUUGUUGACUAUGAUUUGUCUUGUAGCUUACUCGCUUAUGUUAUUUUACCUACGCUUAGGAUGUUGAGCGCAUGUCUCUCUCU
rnacentral:rRNA from 1 species